rnacentral:rRNA from 1 species
UACGGAGGGUGCAAGCGUUAUCCGGAUUUAUUGGGUUUAAAGGGUCCGUAGGCGGAUCUGUAAGUCCGUGGUGAAAUCUCUGAGCUUAACUCAGAAACUGCCGUGGAUACUAUUUGUCUUGAAUGUUGUGGAGGUGAGCGGAAUAUGUCAUGUAGCGGUGAAAUGCUUAGAUAUGACAUAGAACACCAAUUGCGAAGGCAGCUCACUACACAAUUAUUGACGCUGAGGCACGAAAGCGUGGGGAUCAAACAGG